rnacentral:tRNA from 2 species
GGGCCUGUAGCUCAGCUGGCAGAGCGCUACAUUUGCAAUGUAGAGGUCACCGGUUCGAUCCCGGUCAGGUCCACCG